rnacentral:rRNA from 1 species
UGGCNNCAGGCCUACACAUGNCAAGUGCGAGCGGGAUGAAGGGAGCUUGCUCCUGGAUUNCAGCGGCGGACGGGUGAGUAAUGCCUAGGAAUCUGCCCCAAUAGUGGGGGGAUAACGUUCCCGAAAGGAACGCUAAUACCGCAUACGUCCUACGGGAGAAAGCAGGGGACCUUCGGGCCUUGCGCUAUUGGAUGAGCCUAGGUCGGAUUAGCUAGUUGAUGAGGUAAAGGCUCACCAAGGCGACGAUCCGUACCUGGUCUGAGAGGAUGAUCAGCCACACUGGAACUGAGACACGGUCCAGACUCCUACGGGAGGCAGCAGUGGGGAAUAUUGGACAAUGGGCGAAAGCCUGAUCCAGCCAUGCCGCGUGUGUGAAGAAGGUCUUCGGAUUGUAAAGCACUUUAAGUUGGGAGGAAGGGUUUCUGGCUAAUAUCCAGAAUUUGACGUAACGNCAAANAGCCCGCACUN